AGCGAACGCUGGCGGCAGGCCUAACACAUGCAAGUCGAACGAAGUCUUCGGACUUAGUGGCGGACGGGUGAGUAACACGUGGGAACGUGCCUUUAGGUUCGGAAUAACUCAGGGAAACUUGUGCUAAUACCGAAUGUGCCCUUCGGGGGAAAGAUUUAUCGCCUUUAGAGCGGCCCGCGUCUGAUUAGUUAGUUGGUGAGGUAAAGGCUCACCAAGGCGACGAUCAGUAGCUGGUCUGAGAGGAUGAUCAGCCACAUUGGGACUGAGACACGGCCCAAACUCCUACGGGAGGCAGGAGUGGGGAAUCUUACGCAAUGGGCGAAAGCCUGACGCAGCCAUGCCGCGUGAAUGAUGAAGGUCUUAGGAUUGUAAAAUUCUUUCACCGGGGACGAUAAUGACGGUACCCGGAGAAGAAGCCCCGGCUAACUUCGUGCCAGCCGCCGCCGUAAUAC
rnacentral:rRNA from 1 species